AGUUCGGACAAAUGUUCCUGAAACUUAAAAUAUGUAGUAACAAAGUUCAGAUUGAAGAGAAUCUGCGUGAUAUUCUUAGUGUUCAUUCCAGAUGGAAAUAGAGUUGUUGAUGAAAACAGAUUUAUUUGACAAAACAAUGACUUUUAAUACAAUGACAAUGUUUAUAUAUAUAUAUUACUGAUUUAUUUUAUAUUCCCAUAUAGAUUCAAGUAUCGAAUUUAUGAAAGAAAGAGACACAGUGUUCAUUUGUUAUUUGCGUGGUGACAAAUAUUACAAACUUCGUUUUAUACAUAUUGAUUCGUGAUUUAUUCGUGUUGGUAUUUAGACACACUUAUAUUUAAUUACAUGUACUUUUAAGAUAUUUUGAGAGAGAAAAUUUUAGACGACAAAUGUUCGUAAAAGCGCGCUUGUAAAUAAUGUAAAUACAAUGUUGCUCUUUUUCAUUUUUCCUGUAUGCAUUUUGAAAUAUCAUUUGUUCACAAUUUACACAUGCUGAUACGGGAGUAUCAGAUAACAAGCGACGGGGUAAUAUGACCCGACAAUUGUUCGUUCAAAGUUCACAUUUAGGAUUUGUAUAUUUUUAUAAUAUUUGCUUUUGAUCAAUUAUUCCGAGUCGUCAAUGCGUUUUAAUAAUUUAUUAGUUCAUUGUAUUUUACGCUAUUCAAAAGUUACUUGUAUUUUACACUUAACUAUAAUCCUUUCAUUUAGAUUAAUUAUCAAAGAUUUAUAUCCGUCUUUAAGAUAAAAGGUUUUGUAACAAAGAAUAUAGAUAAUUUGACACUAAUUGUGAUAACUGCCAAAAGCCAUUCUUGACAAACUUAUGCGAAGCAUGUUUUUAAUCCUUUAUCCCCGCUUUCGGCAAAACGCGAAUUAAUAUUAUUUAAUAAAAAGAUAUUUGAUUGGUUCAUUUUCUGUAUGCCAAUCAGUCUUUUGAAUUUGUAUUUUAUAUUUGUUUUUAUGUUGUUAUUCAGUUAUGUUUUGAUAUUUGAAAUUUAUGGAUGUCAAAUAAAUAUGUAAACUUUCCAACAACUUGGACUUUAUCUCAACUAUCGCUAGUUUCCCCCAGAAACUAAUUAACAUGACAGAGGGGACCAACAACCUGGUCAUACUAUUUCAAAGACAAUAACAACUAAUAGAAAUAUGCAUCUAGGACUAAAAUAUCAAUCAGUACAAGUCUACACCAAUGGAUUUAGUCAUUGAAGAAAACGAUGACCUUGUGCUAGUUUAUUUCUAAUUUGUAUGAUUUAUUCAUGAUUAACCAAAAUUAUAGAAAUAAAAAAAUAUUCAAAUAUUAAAUCGUUUUUGUUGUAGCACAUGUAAAAUUAAUUCCAGUCAGACAAAGGGCUCCUGCAAAUGAAUAUGGACCAGGGAAUCCCAUGACAAAAAAUUCAGUAGUGAAAGUGUUCCGCCGUUCACUACUUCACUGACAAAAAUAUAAAUUCAAAAAGAAAACAUAUCUUUUUAAAUGAUAUCAGGCAGUUGAGAUACAUUUUGUUGCAAAGUCACUGUCAUGAAAAACAAGGAUACAAAUUCAGUUUAUCUUGGGCUAGAAAUAGUUCAUGUGAAUUCAGGUCAUUAUUUGGUCAUCUAUUUAAAGUCGAAAUGCAUCGUUUCUUUUCAAGAAUAAUGAGAGAGUCAUUCUGAUUAUCAUUGAACGAUAACAAAAGAGAUGUUUUGAUGGUCAUUAACUGGUUGGUUUUGACUUUUAAGAAAGUGAAGACAAUCAGAUAAGAUGACAAUAGUAUGUUAUGGAAUAAUAUAUAAGUCAAAUAAUAUGUUGUUCAGAAUCUGGAAAACAGUACCAGCUUUUGAAGUUCAUUUUUCAAAGCCCAUGUGGUUUUCAGAGAAUCAAGGUCAAAAACAAAAGAAGAACAUUGUUGACUCGUCCACAAAUAAAUAACAUUUCCAUUUAAUUUAUGUAUCAUUCUUAUUGAACAGUUUACCAAACAAAAAAGAAAAGCAGAUGAUAUUUCAAUUUUCUGUCAAUGCUUGAGGAAUAAUUGUAUGAUUUAAAUACAUGUAACAGUCUUUCGAGAAAAAAGAGGGAAUAAUUUGUUUACAAAUGUACAUAGUUAUAUGCAAAUGAAUUUUGAGCAUAAUGUAAAGCAAUUAAAGAACUGACCUUUACACAAAUUUUUUUUUUUUACUUGAAUUUUAUACAUAUAAAAUGGUCAUUUGAAAGAUGAAAUUAGAAGUCAGGAGAUUGCGAGAAUGCAGGAUUUUGCCCUAUUAAUGCCAGACCUCUGCCAUAAAGCACCAAGCUGUAUGGGCACCUGGCUUUGCCAAGCACAUGUGACAGACCCCCUUUAGUUUUAAUUUAGCCUACUACUUCAGUUUCAAGUGAAAGCCCUGGGUUUUUUUCUGUUUGACUGUCAACACAAUCAGCAAAAUUCUGCUUCAACCCAAAACAUUGAAAUUUUGCAAUAUUCUAAUUUAGAAUGACUUUUUUAUACCUCCAACCUUUAACAUCUGAUAUUUUUAUUAUCUAGAGCUCUGUAAAAAAAUGAAUAAAAAAAAUUAUAAAAAUGAUAUUACCAUGCAAAAAAUAAUAUGAAAACAAAAUAGAAAACCGAGUUCUAGAUAAUAAACAUUGAGGGUGGGUUUAUUUUGAUAGUUUUUAUGACACCCCCCUUAAAAUCUUAUAAAGUUAUAAUAUUUAAAACAAACAAAAAUUAGAAUGGCAGUUUAAAAAAGUAUAGGUCCUUUCUGUAGGGACAUUGCAACUCUGCAUGUUAAAGAACCCUUGCUACAACUCUUUUGAGGUGUCAGUAGGACAUGGCUUGUGGCAAGGCUAACUUUCUGUCCAAGAUUAUCCUCCUCUCGGCUGGCAGUCAAAAUUUCCCCUCCCUUCACCAUCUGACCACUUUAUAGAACUUACAGAUUGAUUUGUUGUGAUAUCAAGAGAUGUGAGACAACUAUCCUACAGAGACCAAAUGGUGUUAAUGUAAAAAAGAUUACUGUUUUGGCUUCGACAAUGAGAAAAUCCACUAACAUUGAAAUUUUGCAAUAUUCUAAUUUAGAAUGACUUUUUUAUACCUCCAACCUUUAACAUCUGAUAUUUUUAUUAUCUAGAGCUCUGUAAAAAAAUGGAAAAAAAAAAUAAAAAAUGAAAAUACCAUGCAAAAAAUAAUAUGAAAACAAAAUAGAAAACUAGAGUUCUAGAUAAUAAACAUUGAGGGUGGGUUUAUUUUGAUAUUUUUUGUGACACCCGCCUUAAAAUCUUAUAAAGUUAUCAUUUUUAAAACAAACAAAAAUUAUAAUGGCAGUUUAAAAAUUAUAGGUCCUUUCUGUAGGGACAGUGCAAAUCUGCAUGUUAAAGAACCCUUGCUACAACUCUUUUGAUGUGUAAGCAGGACAUCAUAUGGCUUGUGGCAAGGCUAACUUUCUGUCCAAGAUUAUCCUCCUCUCGGCUGGCAGUCAAAAUUUCCCCUCCCUUCACCAUCUGACCACUUUAUAGAACUUACAGAUUGAUUUGUUGUGAUAUCAAGAGAUGUGAGACAACUAUCCUACAGAGACCAAAUGGUGUUAAUGUAAAAAAGAUUACUGUUUUGGCUUCAACAAUGAGAAAAUCCACUAACAUUGAAAUUUUGCAAUAUUCUAAUUUAGAAUGACUUUUUUAUACCUCCAACCUUUAACAUCUGAUAUUUUUAUUAUCUAGAGCUCUGUAAAAAAAUGGAAAAAAAAAUAAAAAAUGAAAAUACCAUGCAAAAAAUAAUAUGAAAACAAAAUAGAAAACUAGAGUUCUAGAUAAUAAACAUUGAGGGUGGGUUUAUUUUGAUAUUUUUAUGACACCCGCCUUAAAAUCUUAUAAAGUUAUCAUUUUUAAAACAAACAAAAAUUAUAAUGGCAGUUUAAAAAUUAUCGGUCCUUUCUGUAGGGACAGUGCAACUCUGCAUGUUAAAGAACCCUUGCUACAACUCUUUUGAUGUGUAAGCAGGACAUCAUAUGGCUUGUGGCAAGGCUAACUUUCUGUCCAAGAUUAUCCUCCUCUCGGCUGGCAGUCAAAAUUUCCCCUCCCUUCACCAUCUGACCACUUUAUAGAACUUACAGAUUGAUUUGUUGUGAUAUCAAGAGAUGUGAGACAACUAUCCUACAGAGACCAAAUGGUGUUAAUGUAAAAAAGAUUACUGUUUUGGCUUCAACAAUGAGAAAAUCCACUAACAUUGAAAUUUUGCAAUAUUCUAAUUUAGAAUGGCUUUUUUAUACCUCCAACCUUUAACAUCUGAUAUUUUUAUUAUCUAGAGCUCUAAAAAAAAAUGGAAAAAAAAAAUAAAAAAUGAAAAUACCAUGCAAAAAAUAAUAUGAAAACAAAAUAGAAAACUAGAGUUCUAGAUAAUAAACAUUGAGGGUGGGUUUAUUUUGAUAUUUUUUAUGACACCCGCCUUAAAAUCUUAUAAAGUUAUCAUUUUUAAAACAAACAAAAAUUAUAAUGGCAGUUUAAAAAUUAUAGGUCCUUUCUGUAGGGACAGUGCAACUCUGCAUGUUAAAGAACCCUUGCUACAACUCUUUUGAUGUGUAAGCAGGACAUGGCUUGUGGCAAGGCUAACUUUCUGUCCAAGAUUAUCCUCCUCUCGGCUGGCAGUCAAAAUGUCCCCUCCCUUCACCAUCUGACCACUUUAUAGAACUUACAGAUUGAUUUGUUGUGAUAUCAAGAGAUGUGAGACAACUAUCCUACAGAGACCAAAUGGUGUUAAUGUAAAAAAGAUUACUGUUUUGGCUUCAACAAUGAGAAAAUCCACUAACAUUGAAAUUUUGCAAUAUUCUAAUUUAGAAUGACUUUUUUAUACCUCCAACCUUUAACAUCUGAUAUUUUUAUUAUCUAGAGCUCUAAAAAAAAAUGGAAAAAAAAAUAAAAAAUGAAAAUACCAUGCAAAAAAUAAUAUGAAAACAAAAUAGAAAACUAGAGUUCUAGAUAAUAAACAUUGAGGGUGGGUUUAUUUUGAUAUUUUUUGUGACACCCGCCUUAAAAUCUUAUAAAGUUAUCAUUUUUAAAACAAACAAAAAUUAUAAUGGCAGUUUAAAAAUUAUAGGUCCUUUCUGUAGGGACAGUGCAACUCUGCAUGUUAAAGAACCCUUGCUACAACUCUUUUGAUGUGUAAGCAGGACAUCAUAUGGCUUGUGGCAAGGCUAACUUUCUGUCCAAGAUUAUCCUCCUCUCGGCUGGCAGUCAAAAUUUCCCCUCCCUUCACCAUCUGACCACUUUAUAGAACUUACAGAUUGAUUUGUUGUGAUAUCAAGAGAUGUGAGACAACUAUCCUACAGAGACCAAAUGGUGUUAAUGUAAAAAAGAUUACUGUUUUGGCUUCAACAAUGAGAAAAUCCACUAACAUUGAAAUUUUGCAAUAUUCUAAUUUAGAAUGACUUUUUUAUACCUCCAACCUUUGACAUCUGAUAUUUUUAUUAACUAGAGCUCUAAAAAAAAAUGGAAAAAAAAUAAAAAAUGAAAAUACCAUGCAAAAAAUAAUAUGAAAACAAAAUAGAAAACUAGAGUUCUAGAUAAUAAACAUUGAGGGUGGGUUUAUUUUGAUAUUUUUUGUGACACCCGCCUUAAAAUCUUAUAAAGUUAUCAUUUUUAAAACAAACAAAAAUUAUAAUGGCAGUUUAAAAAUUAUAGGUCCUUUCUGUAGGGACAGUGCAACUCUGCAUGUUAAAGAACCCUUGCUACAACUCUUUUGAUGUGUAAGCAGGACAUCAUAUGGCUUGUGGCAAGGCUAACUUUCUGUCCAAGAUUAUUCUCCUCGGCUGGCAGUCAAAAUUUCCCCUCCCUUCACCAUCUGACCACUUAAUAGAACUUACAGAUUGAUUUGUUGUGAUAUCAAGAGAUGUGAGACAACUAUCCUACAGAGACCAAAUGGUGUUAAUGUAAAAAAGAUUACUGUUUUGGCUUCAACAAUGAGAAAAUCCACUAACAUUGAAAUUUUGCAAUAUUCUAAUUUAGAAUGACUUUUUUAUACCUCCAACCUUUAACAUCUGAUAUUUUUAUUAUCUAGAGCUCUGUAAAAAAAAUGGAAAAAAAAAAUAAAAAAUGAAAAUACCAUGCAAAAAAUAAUAUGAAAACAAAAUAGAAAACUAGAGUUCUAGAUAAUAAACAUUGAGGGUGGGUUUAUUUUGAUAUUUUUUAUGACACCCGCCUUAAAAUCUUAUAAAGUUAUCAUUUUUAAAACAAACAAAAAUUAUAAUGGCAGUUUAAAAAUUAUAGGUCCUUUCUGUAGGGACAGUGCAACUCUGCAUGUUAAAGAACCCUUGCUACAACUCUUUUGAUGUUUUAGCAGGACAUGGCUUGUGGCAAGGCUAACUUUCUGUCCAAGAUUAUCCUCCUCUCGGCUGGCAGUCAAAAUUUCCCCUCCCUUCACCAUCUGACCACUUUAUAGAACUUACAGAUUGAUUUGUUGUGAUAUCAAGAGAUGUGAGACAACUAUCCUACAGAGACCAAAUGGUGUUAAUGUAAAAAAGAUUACUGUUUUGGCUUCAACAAUGAGAAAAUCCACUAACAUUGAAAUUUUGCAAUAUUCUAAUUUAGAAUGACUUUUUUAUACCUCCAACCUUUAACAUCUGAUAUUUUUAUUAUCUAGAGCUCUAAAAAAAAAAUGGAAAAAAAAAAUAAAAAAUGAAAAUACCAUGCAAAAAAUAAUAUGAAAACAAAAUAGAAAACUAGAGUUCUAGAUAAUAAACAUUGAGGGUGGGUUUAUUUUGAUAUUUUUUAUGACACCCGCCUUAAAAUCUUAUAAAGUUAUCAUUUUUAAAACAAACAAAAAUUAUAAUGGCAGUUUAAAAAUUAUAGGUCCUUUCUGUAGGGACAGUGCAACUCUGCAUGUUAAAGAACCCUUGCUACAACUCUUUUGAUGUGUAAGCAGGACAUGGCUUGUGGCAAGGCUAACUUUCUGUCCAAGAUUAUCCUCCUCUCGGCUGGCAGUCAAAAUUUCCCCUCCCUUCACCAUCUGACCACUUCAUAGAACUUACAGAUUGAUUUGUUGUGAUAUCAAGAGAUGUGAGACAACUAUCCUACAGAGACCAAAUGGUGUUAAUGUAAAAAAGAUUACUGUUUUGGCUUCAACAAUGAGAAAAUCCACUAACAUUGAAAUUUUGCAAUAUUCUAAUUUAGAAUGACUUUUUUAUACCUCCAACCUUUAACAUCUGAUAUUUUUAUUAUCUAGAGCUCUGUAAAAAAAUGAAAAAAAAAAAAAAAAAAAAUGAAAAUACCAUGCAAAAAAUAAUAUGAAAACAAAAUAGAAAACUAGAGUUCUAGAUAAUAAACAUUGAGGGUGGGUUUAUUUUGAUAGUUUUUAUGACACCCGCCUUAAAAUCUUAUAAAGUUAUCAUAUUUAAAACAAACAAAAAUUAUAAUGGCAGUUUAAAAAUAAUAGGUCCUUUCUGUAGGGACAGUGCAACUCUGCAUGUUAAAGAACCCUUGCUACAACUCUUUUGAGGUGUCAGUAGGACAUGGCUUGUGGCAAGGCUAACUUUCUGGCCAAGAUUAUCCUCCUCUCGGCUGGCAGUCAAAAUUUCCCCUCCCUUCACCAUCUGACCACUUUAUAGAAUUUACAGAUUGAUUUGUUGUGAUAUCAAGAGAUGUGAGACAACUAUCCUACAGAGACCAAAUGGUGUUAAUGUAAAAAAGAUUACUGUUUUGGCUUCAACAAUGAGAAAAUCCACUAACAUUGAAAUUUUGCAAUAUUCUAAUUUAGAAUGACUUUUUUAUACCUCCAACCUUUAACAUCUGAUAUUUUUAUUAUCUAGAGCUCUGUAAAAAAAUGAAAAAAAAUAAUAUAAAAAUGAAAAUACCAUGCAAAAAAUAAUAUGAAAACAAAAUAGAAAACAGAGUUCUAGAUAAUGAACAUUGAGGGUGGUAUAAAAAGUGGGCAUAUUUCAAAUUUUAAUUUAAACAAUAUUUAUGAAUACAAUUCAGUUUUUGGUGAAUUCUUUUGUGCUGAAUAGUUUUUUUUUCUUUCAUUAGUAUAUUAACAAGUUAUUUUUUAUGCCAAAAAUGGAUUUGAAAGUUCUAAUAUUGAAUUGGAGGUACAUUUUUUUCAUUUUAGUAAUUUUGAGACAACAUCUAUCUUCCCUGAUUAAUACAAGCUAAUACUGUCUUAAUUUUUUGUUUUAUUUUGAAUUCAAAUAACUUUGUUUAAAUCUAUAAUUUUGAACAUCUGAUUGGUUAAUUAUCUGGAGCUCUGUAAAAAAAAAAAAAAAAAAAUUGUGAAAAAAAAAUAAUAUGAAACAAGAUUGUAAACAGAGUUCUAGAUAAUAAACGUUGAGGAUGGUAUAAAAAGUGAGCAUAUUUAAAAUCUAUUUUUAAUCAAUAUAUUUUUGGAAACAACUCAGUUUUUGGUGAUUUUUUUGUGUUGAAUGGUGAUGUUUUUGUGUUGAAUAGGUCUUUUCUUUCAUUAGUAUAUUAACUUGUUAUUUUUGUCCAGUUGUAUAUUUUGUAUGGCAAAAAUGGAUUUCAAAGUUUGAAUGUUUUAUUGGAAGUGCAAUUCUUUUAAUUUUAGUAAUUUGGAGACAACAUUUAUCUUCUCCAAAUAUUACAUGCUAACAUAGUCCUAAAAAUUUUCUAAAAUUUUACUAUAACCUUAAACAUCUGAUAUUUUAUUAUCUAGAGCUCUGUAAAAAAUCAAACAAAAAACAUGUGUAAAACAAUAAAGUAACUAAAUAAUAAUAAAAUUGUAAACAGAGUUCUAGAUAAUAACAUAAAGAGUGGUGUAAAAAGUAGGCAUAUUUAAAGUUUGUUUAUUAUUAUGAAUAGUGCACUGUAUAAUUUGUACAAUAUUUAUUGUGAAGUCUUGGAAAAUUGUGAAAGUUUAGAAUUGUGUUUAUUUAAGAUGUCUAUAUUCAAUCUUCAAUAAUGGUCAUGGCAAUGGAGGACAAUUGAAUAUUAUUGCUCUAUGAAGAAACAGACUUUUUUAUAUCAAGAAAGAUCCAACAACAGUUUAUAUCAAUGAUAUCUAAAGAGACAAAAUACUGAGAAAUACUAAAAGCUCAAAUAUUGAACUUAUAUAAUAAAAUUUAUGUUCUACAUUGAAAACAUGUUUCUACAUACCGUUCUAUAGAGAAGACGCAUUCCUACAUUAUGUUCUUGAGAAGAUGCAUUCCUACAUUAUGUUCUAGAGAAGACAUGUGCUUUACAUACUGUUCUAUAGUGAAAGACAUGUUUCUACAUACUGUUCAAUAGUGAAGACACGUUCAUUGGUACUGUUUUAUAGUGAAGACACAUUUCUACAUAAUGGUCUAUAUUGAAGACAUAUAUUGUUCCUACAUAAUGUUCUAUGGUGAAGAAAGAUGUUCUAUAGCACAAACAGAUGAUCCUUAGUUGCAAUGAGGUAUCCAGAAGAUUUCCAGCUCUUCAUUACAUAUUCUGCUGUUUUCUCAAGAAAACCACAAGAUUUCAAUGUUCAACCUGAAAGUAGAAAUUCUUAAAAUUUAUGCUGGACAUCACAAUACUGGAUAUCUACAGAUUUAAGACUUGUGGAGAAUAUUCUGAUAAAUUAAUGAUGUAAGACAAAUUGUGCUACAAGUAUCAAACCAGCAAAAUAAAUUGAUGGAAGUAAAACAUAAGAGCAGGAUCUUACCUCAUACAAGUGAAGAGGAAGAAUUGAACUGAUGAACUUGAAAACAUCUGAAAGAUAUACACAAGAAAAACAGACAACAUAGAAUAAGGAAAUAGAAAGCUUAACUCAAGAGUCAUAGAGUAAAGGGAAGACCUAACUAGCAACACUCUGAAAUUGACAAGAGAAAAAAUCAACAUACUAGCUGCCUUAUUACCAACUUAUUUAAAGCUGACUCAACCGAUGAACAUAGACAACUGAUGAACAUAGUCAACCUAUGAACAUAGUUAACCGAUGAACAACUGAUCAACAGUCAACUGUUGAACAUAGUCAACUGAUGAACAUAGAACAAAAGUUUUACAUAGUAACAUCAUAGUAAAACAAUCAACAUACCCGCUGCCUUAUGAUCAACAUAGACCAAACAACAGAUUAACAUAUACGAAAUAUUCUUGGCAACUAAAAUAUACGACUGAAAUUAACAAGACAAACAAUCAAUAUAAUAGCUGCUUCAUCACCAACUGAGAGGUUUAAUGUCUAUAAUAGCUGCUUCAUCACCAACUGAGAGGUUUAAUGUCUAUAAUAGCUGCUUCAUCACCAACUGAGAGGUUUAAUGUCUAUAAUAGCUGCUUCAUCACCAACUGAGAGGUUUGAUGUCUAUAAUAGCUGCUUCAUCACCAACUGAGAGGUUUAAUGUCUAUAAUAGCUGCUUCAUCACCAACUGAGAGGUUUAAUGUCUACAAUAGCUGCUUCAUCACCAACUGAGAGGUUUAAUGUCUAUAAUAGCUGCUUCAUCACCAACUGAGAGGUUUAAUGUCUUUAAUUGACUCAACUGAUGAAUGUAGAACAAACUUGGACAUA